ensembl:lncRNA
GUCACCGACCCAGGACCAUGACAAUAUAUAUACUUUUAGCUCUUAAUUCUGCUUCAGUUUGUUUUCUGUAACCUUGAACUUCACAUGUUAAGUUUGCAGAUGGUGAGCUUAAGUUUCCAGAAUGUAAAUUUACUACAGAAAAUAUAAGUGUUUACCUGUGUGAGUGUUUUUACUGAGGAAGCUCAACAAAGCCAGUCCUUCUUUGUAUUACUUGACCUGACAAAACCAACAAACCCAGGCGAGAGAUAAAGGGUAUCACAACAGCAGUUAUCUGUUUUCUCUUAUUUUGUUUCAAAAACAGGAGACAUUAAAGUCACUUUAGCAAAAUGUAUUUAAAUAGUUAAAGGUUAUUGGCAAUAACCUACAAAUACGACUGACCUCUGUUCUAAUUUUAGCCCUGCUAGCUGAAAAUCACAAUAUUUUCAUCAAUCAACAAAAUGCAGUGAAUGAACAAAAGAUGCAUCUAAAUCAAAUCAAUACUUGGUUUGAACAACAAGGGAGGAGGAAAAGAGUUCCAAUGGAUCACAACAGUGAAUUCUAAGAAAACAAGAUGUAUUUAAUUUCAUCCAAUCCAAACCAUCUUUAUUUAUAAAGGACUUUAAAAUACCCAGCACAGGACCAAAGUGCUGUACAAUAAAUGAGUUAAGAACAAUAGAAUAAAAGAAAACAGUAAAAAAAAAAAAAGCACAUAAUACAUAAAAAUGAAAAUAGCCUUAUAUUUAAAACAAGAUAAAACAGUACAGAAUAAUUAAAUAAAAACAAAACAAAAAAAGAAACAGAAGUGGCCUGUCUUAUCUCUAAAGGCAGAUUGUUCCACAGUUUUGGAGCUGUUACAGCAAAAGCACUAUCUCCUCUACGUUUACACUCAGUCCUGGGUAGACUCCCAAACAGCUGAUCACCUGGUAUCUAAAUACACAUUUUGGGGUACCAAAAACCAUCACUGCAGUCAGGUCUGGACUGCGACAAAAAAUUGCCCUGGGCAUUUUGACUGGAUAUCGGCCCACCAGGUAUUAAAGCCAUAAAGUCUUUGAAUGAAAACAAACACAGCUGUGACAGUGAUUUACACUGUCUUCUUGGUAUAUGUAUGAUUUCUAUACAUUUUACAUCAGAUAAAACUUUGGUUCAGAUAAUUAUUUAUUAAAAGUUACACAUUUUAAAAGAGAAUAAGAAAGAAAAGUAUUUCUUUGUGCCCCCUUUCCCUGUUAAUGCCCUACCUGGCCCCCUGGCAAAACUUUGCUAGAUCCACCCCUGCACAGUUACCAGCUGUCAGCUACGUAGAAAAGGAUCCUGGUGUUAUUUGUCUCUCAGAAACCUGUUCAGCUCUGAUGAUUCAAUAAGGACAUCUCCUGGUUCCAUCUUCACGUUUCCUUCUC